rnacentral:ncRNA from 2 species
GGAAGGGGGUGCGAAUCCCCAGCUGUCGCGCAACUGUGAUGGAAACGAAAGCCGAGCACGCCACUGUCUUUUGUAUCAGAUGGGAAGGCCGGUGAGUAGGAUGUCCUAAGCCAGGAGAC